CUCAGACUGGGGCUGCAAGAGCAGACAGAAGGAUGGAGAGAAGCGAUGAGAGAGCAGGCGGUGAAAAAAGAAAGAGCUUGACAGGUUUCCGAUUAAGAUGCACCUGAUGUUUUCUGGAUGUCAUAGGAGCAGCCAACUUGUCAAGGCAUUGAGCCAUCCGUCCAUAAAUCUUGGCAUAUGUCCAUAUCGUUCCCUCCACCAUCUAACUCCAAUAGAUCUAUCCAUCCCUCUCCUUUACGCUGGAAGGCACGCUCCUCCUCUGUCUUCUCUCCAUAUCCAUUUUACAAUCUCCUCUACAUUCCACCCACACAGCAACCCUCCUCCCUUCCAUAUCUCCUUGCUUGUCACUUCCACAGAUCCUGAGGGCAUCACUCACUACAUCCUUCUACUCUAAUUUAUCUUAAGUCUCUCUACUGUACUGUUUAGUGGAGCGCUGACCACUGCUCUAUGUUCUCCCCCCCUCUCCAAGAGUAUGACGAAGAUGUAUGGAAGGAAUGAAGCAGCACUGAGGGAACGCUGAACACAGGCCGAAGAGUGGAACAGAGGGACGGAGACCACCUGUAAUCUACCUAAAAACGACAGCAAGGAAACGGAGAGAAUCAGACUUUUUUUCCUCUCUCUCGCCGCAUAGGAGACAAUCCACAGGCUUCCGUCUGUCUCAGAAGGAUGCAAAGGCGUCACUGCGGUUUGUAGGAUGAAGAAAAAUACUGAGCAUACAAUGGCGAGUUGUUAGGGAGAGACAAAAAAAACGGAAACAGUCGCGAUAUUCUGGAAGCUAAAGGGAGGAGAGAGCAGUAUGACUCACAGCAGCUUGAAUGCUGUGUUUUGUAUGCCGGAGGAGGGCUAGAGGGAGAUAGAGGAGAAAUGAGAGAGACACAGGAAGAUAAAUAGAGGAGACCUGAGUAGAAGUGAGCACUUGUCAGAUGAAGAAAGAAGCCACAACCGAGAGGCAAUGAGUGACAGACUGCAGGCAGAGUGAAUCAGCUUGCUGGAGGGUUAGGAAGGUGAAAGGUGGAGGAGAGUUGAGGAAGUGGUGGGUUUAGUAUGAGGGAAGGGUCGCUGACAAGACCGCAAAUGACAGCAGGACAUGCUAAGACAUAGCUCCUAGGGUUGCACAUGGGAAGGGUUACACAUUGAAAAUGCAGCAGAAAUGUGACAUAGGGAUAUGAGAACAAACCAGGCCACAGAGAAAAAAACGAGCAGAAAGCUGUAGUUUUUUAAAAAAAAAGGACCAAAAUAGAAAUGCAGCAGACCAGAAAACAUGUCAGCGUAUGCACAACGCCAGGGACAGCAUGGAAACUUUAACUGUGACAACGACACAGCAAGAGAUUCCUGUUAAAUAUUCAUGCUGACAGGCUCUCUGGAAAGAACUUCCUCCGUCACAGAGAGAAAACAGAUCGCUUUUAUCCUGUGGGAUUUUUUACAUUAGACAAGCUGCUAAGUGUGUCAGGACACGUUAAUAUCUUGCUCCAAAUUGAAGCAAGACCUGGUACUUGCUGGGACGUGACCACCUGGAGGUGAUUGGACAGGUGUGAAGAGAGGGCAUUGACUCCUGGAAGAAGAUGUGGAGUUGUGGAAGCCAAGAUGGAGGGCAUACACAUUUAACUAGGUUUUUUCCUGGCAUAUGUGCAGAGAAUUAAGCUUGAUCUUGACACGUAUCACUGCCAUAUCCAAAUUUGACUCAUGGACUGAAUAGAACCUUUUAGAUUUGGUCUAAAAAUUGCCCUUUUAUCUGGAUUAAUCCAGGUAUGAUCCAUAUCUUCAGGAAGCAUCGUGCUGUUUUUUGUGGUAGCAUCUUGAAGGACCUGGAAUGUAUCAUUUUUUCCUCUUAAUGGCAUCGAGGUAUUAAGACAGAGACUCACUCAGCUCUGACCUGAAAAUCUUAUUCCUCAAAACAAUAUAAUAGGACGGCACAUAGUCUCUCACCCCGCAGCUGUAGAAAGACCAGCUUGGUGUUUGUGUGCGGGUGUAAGUUACUGUCGAGGAGCUGCGUUGUAUCCGUGCACAUGCUUGUGAGAGAUGUAGACUUGUGUGUGCCUGCCAAGCUCCCAAGCCAGCUGUGUCUGUGCAUUUUCUCCCCAAACGUCACCCGGAGCUGUGUGUGUGCGUGUGCCGCCUGGAUUCCCACUGGCGACAGAGCUGGACCUGAGCAGCGGUGGUGAGCGGGGGUACCAGGAGCGGGACGAGGAGGAGAAUAGUGAGGUGAAAGAAACCAACAGGCGGGAAGACAGGAAGAAACUGACAUCAUGCUUGGAUAAACAAAAGAAAGAAAGGAGUUCCUGGCUGCCUCCCUGGUGCAAUGUGUGGCGUCGUGCCCAGUGGCGGUGGGGUUCUGUGAUGGUAACCAUGGUCCCCGGCAGCCGCUAUGUCUGCAGCACUCAUGCAAGACAGGAGGACUCCACGAACGAUCGAGAGGAGCGAAUUUUAGCCGUGUUGGGCAUCAUCGGAACCAUUCUCAAUCUUUUAGUGGUCAUAUUUGUCUACAUCUACACCUCGGUCACUUAAGAGCUUUGGACGGUUGGCGUUAUUCCCAACGUUCCUACUGCCGUACAUCUCUUAUGCACGUGGAGGGUUAGCACUUCGAAGAUGGGAGGAUCCUUGGCAGCGUGUACAGCUGGAUAGUCGCCGUCUGUAACUGCAUGGCUGCACUGCUGUGAGGACAGUUCUACUCCAUUUCCUGAAGACUGCUGCCAAUGUCACGUCUUCUCUCCCUUCUUGCUCAUAUCCAGCUUGUCAUCUUAAGACAGCCUCCUGCCAAAUUACUGCUGACACUGUCUGCUUGUGUUCAUUGCACUGCAUUUCUAUGAAAAUGGGACUUGAUGGUGGAUUUUACUGUGCUGUGUGUCAGACUGUAAGUCUGUUUUUCAGUUUUUAUCCGUGGGAUAGGGUUUGUUUCACUGCCAAAUGAAUAAUUACAGGCCAAUGGGCAAAUGUUGAAGAAUAAAGAGGACGCUAGGUAUAGUUUUAAUAGAAACAAUGAAAGCUCAAAUGCCACUUGACCAAUGAACUGAAGGACUUUUGUGCCUCUCUUUUAAAACGUUUAACCUAAUGUUCGUAUCAGCAGAUAAAUACACGAUGUUGCACAUUACCAGUAACUGUAGCAAGCAGUUUUAAAAAUGAUUUCCAUGGAACUAACUUGUCCAUAUCUGAGCACACCAGAGGAGAGAUUCCUGGCGCUGCUGGGGGUCAUCGGCAUCAUACUCAAUCUCUUGCUGCUUGCCUUUGUCUACGUAUACACAUCCAUUUGACCUUGUGCAUAUGUUCUGCAUACGCUAUACUCUCCUGCUAUAUUUGCAAACAGUGUUCAUGGGCGUAUGUGUCGUCUAGAUAUACAUACUCAGAUAUCUGAUAUUUUGCAAAUGUCAGUUUGCAUUUCAUAAGUAAUCUGCGGCCCCGAUGAACAUCAUGACAUGUUUACUUAAGCUUGCAUUGCCAUGGACGUUGCUAUGCUCCAACCAAACUGACAGAUGCAAUUGAAUUUACCCAGUUUGCGCAAUUUGCCUUUUCAUGUGCAAACUAUAAAACGCAAAAAUGGACAGGGAGGGUGUUGAUAAUUCAACGUGGGCAGCAGCUCGUCACAACAGCAAUGAUCCCGCCGUGGAUGCUUGGUGUCGAGAGUAAUGGUUUAUUUCCUGGUGCCCUGCUUCUUUGAUUGGAUCUGUCAAGCGGGAAUGGAGUACCGUCAAAGAUGCGAAAGUGUGCAACUGAGACAAUGUCACACACAUCGAGACAGGGUACGGGUGCAUCAUGACGCAAAGAUGCAGGAUAUUUGCAGUGGGAAUAAGUGGAAGCCAUGAGCAGUGUCUUACAUUAGAGGUACUAAUGGGGGCUUUUACUGCCUGUUUGCAGACACAAAAAAUGACCUGCCAUUGGGUUGAAACUUUUCCACUGAAGUUGUAUGUCACUGUGGGUAGAAUUUGGGACUUUGUGUGUUUGAUGAAGGGAAACAUGUGCAUGACAAGCAAGCAGAAAGGACUGGUCUGAAUCGUCACCUCAACACUGGACCUACAUGGAUCUCUGCAAUGAAGCACACCGCUUUUGUACUGACAUACAUAGCCCAGUGCAUCUAAGCAUCAAGGACAAGCUGAUCAUCAAUCAGUCAGGAGCUUGGAAGUAGACUUAUGAAGCACCUCACCACCGGAGCAACCUGCAAAUCCCUUCCCCACUGCAAGUUUAUUAUUUGGCUUGUAAAAAGGACUUUUGACUUUUUCUAAUCAUUUCAUUUUGACGUAUUCUUGUGAAUUUUGGCAGUGUUUUCAGUUGCAAUCUGAUCUGAAAAGUCCAACACUGGGAAAUACGAUAACACAGCAUACAGCAUAUGCAUCAUAUGCUGCACUUUAGCUUCACCGAGUACAAACAGACACAGUCGGCUACGUACGGUGGCUGACAGGGGCCAACGCGCAGCAAAGACCAAAUGCUCCAAACACAGAAAUGAUCCGAACCGUUGAACACAAGCACCAGGAAAAUGCAGCAGGAUCAACAAUACUGCAAAUUUGAAAAACACACACAAACCCUCUAAAUCCCAUGCAUGAAGAGAAAUGCUGCAAGUUGACAGAACGGAAUGGAAGUUAGCCAGACGAGCAGGUGUGCCAGACCUGAGGGAUAUCCUUAAGAUGUAAUAUUUUACUGUAUUAUACAGUUUUACGGCCAAGUGUUUACAUAUCUGUUCAUUCUGCCAAGUUACUUGUGGGCAUCCCGCUCAUGUCUUUACAGACAGGUAUCCUUCACUUCUGUGUCUGGAGCGUUUGGACGUUUCUGCGCGUUUGCCCGUGGCAGCCACAAUAAGUAUAAAUGUCGCAAUCCUUCCAUGGCUACACAAAUUAACAACAGUAAAAAUAUAAUUAUUGUGUUUGCUAAACACCAAAACACCACAAAAAGAGAAACUUUUAAGCAAUGUAAUCUUCCACGUGUUUUGCUGGUUUUCUUUUUGUAGCCGCAAUUUUGUUUAAAGCGAAUUAGAAACAGCAGGAAGCAGAAGAUUUGUCAAACUUUAUAGGAGGGGAGGUUAUUCUCAAAAAAGUGAAGAUGUGUUGAUAUACUGUACUAGAUUUGCAAAGUAGAUUUAUCAAAGCAUCUGACUUCCUGUUUAAAGUGUGAUGUUGCUCUUGGAACUGAAGUUUACCGCGUGCUUCUACUUUUACCACAUCAUUUCACUUCACAGUUUACUCAACAACACAGCUUGAGACAAGCUGUCCUAUAAACAGUAGUGGUAUACAUUGCUGCAAGGACUAUUUGGCCAGCUUUUUAAGUAUGAAGAUAUACUGCCUGGCCAAAAAGAAGGACACGCGCUGUAAUAUUUUGUUUAGCUUUGAUUACCUGGUGCUGUGGUACUGCUUCCACCAGCAUCUGCAAAGUCACAACAUUUACAGUAUUUCAGUCCGGAGCUGCAUACAUUUUUCACCGAGAUCUUGUACUGAUGGCGGGAGAUUGGGACCACUUUGCAAAGUUUCCUUACUGCUCUUUCACUUUUUAAUAAUGCAUUGGAAAGUUCUUAACCUGAUUUGUGUAGUUUCAGCAAUGUCCUGAGCUGUGCUUGAUGCAUGCCAAUAAUUUGACCCUUCCGAAACAGAUUAACAUCUUUUCCACGACCGCAGGAUGCGUCUUUCAGAAUAGUUGAGUGAGAAAUGAGAAGCUACACACAGCCGCUGAAACAUACGUAAUCACCCAUGCAGUAAUUAUCCAAUGGGAGGCUCUCGGCUAUUUGCUUCAUUAGGUGGUGACCUUUUUUUGUCCAGGCUGUGUAUGUCGGUAGUAAAUAAUGUUUUAAAUGUGCAUCACGGUCAGUGGAAUCACCUUAUUAUGGCUGUAAAGCGCUACACUAAAUGGAAAUUGUUGCCUAAACUGCUUCCAUUUCAAAUGGCAUGCAAACGAAUAAUUUCUGUGAAACUAUAUCCUAACAAAAUCGGUCCCUAAAAGCAGAACUGCUGCGUGCACAGACCAGAUACGUGCCAUCGCUCUCCAUUAAUUGAAUUGACACAUCAUAUAUUUCAAAAGAGUCAAGCGUCAGCAAAGCCACUGCAAUGCAUCAUAGCUCACAAAGUUGAAAACGUUUGUACGAAAGCAAAUAUAUAAAAAGCAUUUAACAGGCUCAGGUUUACUUUGAUGGAGGUAGAGGCUUUACCAGCGUGGCUUUUCAAAGGUUGACCAAAAUAUAUACAUAUAUAUGUAUAUUCUUUAGAAUGACGUAUUUUUUCUGGUAAAACUUUAAACCUGACACUUUUUACAUUCAAAGGUUUUAAUAUUGAUCCCAAAAUAAUACUUACUGCUGUUUGAUAUUGUGAAAACCAUGAACUGACCUACGAGAAGAAAAAUAAUUGUUUUCAUAACAACUAUAAGUGCUGUGAUGCUCUUGCUGACAAUGGUCACAUGACCAAAUUAGUAACUGCUAUUAGCAUUUUUCCACUCCAAUGACUUUUGAUGACUAGUUUAUUAAAUUGCGUGUAUUAUAGUGUCAGGGAUAUAAAUAAAUAUAUUAAUAAGAAGAAAUAAAUUACAAUUACAUUUUAUUACUCCUGUUUUCUGCAUGAAUUUCAUGUUAAAUUUGGUUGAGACAAAUUUUUAACUUGACUUGAUGCCAAACACAGCAAUGAAAGCAAAAAGCCCAGAGGUCAUUUUCUAGCCAUCUGCUGUGCCCACAGACACCCAGCCACCCCCUCAAUGUACACACACACACACACACACAUGCACACACACACACGUAGCAUGGACCUUCUCUUUUAGUAAUGUAGCAUAAUGUUUUUGUGUGUUCAUUUUGGUGCCUAUUUUUAAUCACUCUACAAAUGAAUUUGUGUUCACACCACGAAUGGGAAGCGCCUUCAAAGCCACAGGAAAAACAGCCGCACGCACCUGGGACUUCACGCGCAGGAGUGAAAUAAAACUGAUGAAAUCUACAUCUGUAUUCAGAAAUGUUCAUUCUGAGUCUCAGCCUGUCAACGACUGUAUAAUGAAAUACACAUGUUUUUUUCAUGAUGCAUUAGAUGAACUGAUUUUUAGCCUGAGAGGGCAUCUUGGACACCGCCUGCCUCAGAUUGGAGGGGGAAAAAAAUCUUGAGAAUAAGUGGAUGCUGGAAAUAUUCUAAUUGCUGAUGAAUAUUUAGGAGACAUAAGUCCCUGAGGAAUAAGAGAAAUGUCAAAAUGCGUGGCGAGGCAACGUUUGGAUAUAAUGAGGUCAAACAAAACCAAAAAACACAAAAUAGGUUUUGGAAAGAAAACAAUUAUUCUAAAACCUAAUGAUCAACUCAUCAAUUGAAAUGUUUUUUCCAGACAAGAUGGGAACAGAGCGCAGAGACAUCAUGCUCAUUCAGCCUUCCCUUAACCUUACUAAUGAGUACACAAAAUAUGUGAUUAUUCAUUGCAUUAUUUCUCACUCUGUCAGCAAUUAAUGAAAACGAACCAACUGUGUCAUCUCCGAUUGUGUUCAAACACACAAAAAAUCUGAUAUUCCAAACAUUCUGCAUUACCAGUUAACAUAUGUGUAUAUUUAUCUUUCCUGUUUAUACUGUGUAAGUAGAUACUACAGUAUGGUAACAGUCAUGCCAAUAAAACUGGAGACAACGCUGCUUUCAUUCUGACAUGUUUCAACAAAGGAUGUGCUCAGCGAUCAUUUCAUUUCAACAAUGGAAUAUGACAACGGUAAUGUUAUUUGUGCAACUACCGGUACAUGUGUAAGCUGUUUUGCGGGUUGGAUGAAUGACAUUUGUAUUAAAAGA